rnacentral:snRNA from 1 species
GUACACCUGGCAGGGGAGAUACCUUUGUCAAGAAUUUCAAGGUGUCAGUCUUUCAAGGUGAAGCUUUUCAGUCUCAUUCCAGAUUUGCAUAUCCUUGCGAUUUCCUCAAUGUGGGAAACUGUACUGCCAUAUUUGUGCUAGCAGAGGGCUGCGCUCUUGCUCUCCCCUA